rnacentral:lncRNA from 1 species
GGCCUAUCCAACUAUAACCCACUUGGCACCUCCUAAAUGGGAUUCCAUAAUCUCCAAAAAAAAAAAAAAAAAAAAAUCCUAGAAUGACACGUGGCAAGCCAGUUUUAUUAGUUUAGUUCUUCACAUUUUAGCAUAUCCAAUGGCAUCCUUGGCAACCUUUACUGCAGUGCAGCCCUCUUGUGUUAAGGGCCUUGCAGGGAGCUCCAUUGCUGGAACUAAGCUCCAUGUUAAACCAUCUUCCCUAAAAGUCAAGAUCACAAACUAUAGGUAACAAUUCUUGACUCUGUGCGUUGAACGACAUCCAAGUAAUUAGAAAGGAGACACGUUUAUUAAUAUGAAUUUGAACUCAGGCCUCGUGUCUGCUUAGAUACCACAUUGAAACCACAUCAUUCAUAUCGAGUGGGAGGAGCCAAUUAUGUUCCAUUAAUUGUAUUCGCAUAUUUCAUGAUGUCAACUGACUAGAAUAUGUGAAAUUAGAUAAUGUUGAAUCUAUUGUUUUGCAGGGCUGGUGCUGUGGUGGCUAAGUAUGGUGACAAGAGUGUUUACUUUGAUUUGGAGGAUCUGGGCAACACCACUGGCCAAUGGGACUUGUAUGGAUCAGAUGCACCUUCACCAUACAACCCCCUUCAGGUAUAUUUCCACCUUGAAUAUAGAGGAAGUGUCAAAGUGGGUCGAGCAGUCUGGACCGUGAAAAGUUCAGUGCUGGGCUAGUAUUAUAGUGUAGUUUCGUUGUUGACAUUCAUUUACGAUCACAGAGCAAGUUCUUCGAGACAUUUGCUGCUCCUUUCACCAAGAGAGGUCUUUUGCUGAAGUUCUUGAUAUUGGGAGGUGGCAUCACCAUUGCUUAUGUGAGCUCCAAAGCAACAGGAGACGUUUUACCUAUUGUAAAGGGCCCACAACUUCCACCCAAGCCAGGACCACGUGGCAAAAUCUAAUUUCCCAGAUAUAACAUUUUCAACCUUUAUAAAUUUAUUGUGUUCAAUGUGUCAUUUCAACAGCCUGUAAGCAUAUCAGAAUCUACUUUUACUGUUUAAUAUUACAAGUAUUUCAGUACAAUUCUUGUUGUAUCUGAUUCAAUUUUAAAGUAACUCGAGUACAAUUAAGUGAUCAAUUUCAAAAUAAGUCAAGAGUAUAAUUCAGCAUAUGCUUCCAAGUUACAGAACUAGCACUAGAAUUUUACUAGAUUUCUAUGGCAAGACCGAAAUGCAUACGUACAUUAGGGCUGAGCUUUUAUGCUAGAGUCGAGUUCUGUCAGUUAUUCAUCUGCAACAAAAUCAAUUAAUGGCGUGCUGUUGGACUUCUUGCACCCCCUAGGUUCUCUAGCCUCUCUAUGUAGGAAAAUUUCUUGUUCGUCAUAAUGUUUAGCGGUUUAGGGAGGACCUUUGAGUCAACAUCUUUCUUUGCAUCAGUCUCUCCUUGAUCUAAAUUCCAUCCCAUAAAGUCUAGCAGUGUCAUUGAAGUUGGCGUUUCAUCUGAAUUUGUUUUCUCUAAUUCGUCGUUAGGAUUUGGAAAUUUCACUGUAAUAGGUGAAGGGUCUUUUAAGGUGUACCUCUUUUGUUCUCCAUUUGAUGGAUUCUGUGCAAGAGAGUCGGCUUGUAAGACAUCUUCUAUUCUCGACAACACUGUGAACGCUAGGCUUUCAAUUAUUCUUGAAUAGCUUUCAAGAAUAGCAUGU